GACGAACGCUGGCGGCGUGCUUUACACAUGCAAGUCGAACGGUAAGGCCCUUCCUUUUUGUGGUGCUCGAGGGGCGAACGGGUAAGUAACACGUGAGUAACCUGCCCUGGGCGUUGGGAUAACUUCAGGAAACUUGGGCUAAUACCGGAUAUGAGGUCGUGCUGCGUGGUGGGGGUUGGAAAGUUUCGGCGGUUGGGUUUGGACUCGCGGCUUAUCAGCUUGUUGGUUGGUUAGUGGCUUACCAAGGCUUUGACGGGUAGCCGGCAUGAGAGGGUGACCGGCCACAUUGGGACUGAGAUACGGCGCAGACUCCUACGGGAGGCAGCAGUGGGGAGUAUUGCACAAUGGGGGGGCGCCUGAUGCAGAGACGCCCGGUGCGGGAUGACGGCCUUCGGGUUGUAAACCGCUGUCGGCUGUGACGAAGCGUGAGUGACGGUACUGGGUAAAGAAGCACCGGCUAACUACGUG
rnacentral:rRNA from 1 species